rnacentral:rRNA from 1 species
UACGUAUGGUGCAAGCGUUAUCCGGAUUUACUGGGUGUAAAGGGAGCGUAGGCGGGCUUUUAAGUCAGCGGUAAAAAUUCGCGGCUCAACCCCGUCCGGCCGUUGAAACUGGGGGUCUUGAGUGGGCGAGAAGAAGGCGGAAUGCGUGGUGUAGCGGUGAAAUGCAUAGAUAUCACGCAGAACCCCGAUUGCGAAGGCAGCCUUCCGGCGCCCUACUGACGCUGAGGCACGAAAGUGCGGGGAUCGAACAGG